GUGUCUAGUGGUUCGCUCUUGUGUUAGUAAGUGUACAAAAAAGAAUUUUUUUCUGGACAGAUUCUUUCCCCUUAUUUCUCGAUCGGACCUCAAUUCCUUUUUUUCUGUUCGCAAUGAUUGGUUAGUUGCUAAUUUUGGUGCUGUCUGGCGCCUUACUAACCCGAUCAUCGGCGGGCUACUAAUUCUUCAAUGCGAAGCUUCUGAAAAUACUAGGGGUUCGCCCAAUAGCCCUUAAUGGCCCAAGUGGAGUCCGCACCUGCCCCCACCUUCAUGGAUCCACAUGUAAGCCUGUGCAAUUGUUCCUUUCGAUGUCCUUUUAUCUACUAGUUUUGUGGUCUAGGAAUUUGGGGUUGAUUACAUGCUUUCAAAUUUAUAACUGCCUCAACAUCACACUUAGGUGGUCAUGAUGAUUACAGAAAGCCCCCUGCAAUUGUGAUUACAAUGUUCAAUAAAUUAAAGCAAAAUGUGAAGCCACCAUACAAAGGACGCAGAAUAGAUUUAGUGAAAUUUGAGAUUUUUCGUCUUGUGACACUAACACCACUUGUAUUUCUCUUUUAGGUUAGUAUUUAUCUCUGUACUUUUGUUUGUUUCCCUUAUGUCAUGAGCAUUUGUAGUUUUUGGUUCAUUUGCCACUUGUAUAGGCUUGGGGCCUGUAUCUUAAAAAUGAACAAUGCUCCCGACAGAUCCAAAAUCCAACUGAAGUGCCUCCUCUCUACUAUAACCUUUGUAACAAGGCUCUAGAUUUGGUGGAGCUCUAUGGAGACUGGGUUUCUAGCUCUAAUGACUUGAAUCAAAUGACUUGGUGCUUCUCUCAAGGGGAGGGCUCAGUUUAUAUAGGCCAGUGGAGUAAACCACAACCCUUGGAUCAAACCAACUUAAAUAGAUGGAGAAGAUCAAUCCUUGGAGGCGGUGGAGGAUCAUGGCAAAAGGGUGCUAAUAGGUGGACCCCACCUAGGGCACCCACCCUAGGGACUAGGGCGGUUGACCUAGCUCUAUUCCAAGUGGGCCCCAUCUUUGCCAACGUGUCUUCUAGAUUCUUCUCCAUUUGGUUUUGCCAAAAAAUAUACUUUUUAGCUUGAUAUUCUUCAAAUCUCCUAUGUAAUUCCUAAUACACCCUAGCAGAACACAGAUUCUACAAAAUUGUGGAAUUCUGUUAGAUAACCCCCCUAUACUACAUUGAUAUUAUGUUGUAUUGAUCCUUUUUAUGAUUAGUUGAUGGGUUGCUUUAUGGUAGUUAAGGACUGUCAACAUAGAUGAGCACGAUGACCACCUGAUACCACCUAACAGUGGCACCAAGAGGGCCAGCAGCACGAGCACCACAACGUCCAACCCCAGCAAGAGAUCUAAGAGCCCAGAACUUUUUAUUUAUAACAGUCAAAUUUUUCAACAUAUACAUGAAGCAUUAAAUGUAGCUAAAAGCCUAAUUGUACAAUUUAAUUAUAAAUCUUGAGAUGAAUCCUUUAAAUAUCUAAGAUUAGCAAUAAUUGCUACAAUAAUCAGUAUAUACUAAUGAUGAAUUAAGUAGACUUAAAAAUUCCGUCUUGCGGUUUCCAGACGACGAGCUAUGUAAUUUGUUUUUCGUUUAUGUUUAAUACUUUAAAUGUGUGCCGACAUAUCCGAUGUGAUACUCAAAAUAUUUCUUUUCACGAAUUAAGGCAGGUUUAGUUCAUGACUGGAUUACAUAUAUAAAUUAUUAAAUAUAGAUAAAAAAUAAUUAAUUAUAUAGUUUGUAUAUAAUUUAUAAGUUUUUAAGUUUAAUUAGUCAAUAAUUGAACAUUAAUUAUCAAAUAAUAUGAAAAUGCUAACCCAAACAAAAGUUUUCGUAAACUAAAUAAUUAUAAAAGGGCCAAGAUCCCAAGACAUACAGACGUGCUGCUGCCUCCGACUCACGAAAAACCCAUCGACCAUCGCUCCUCAACGGGCACGGCCGCACGGGCGCCGCCCACCGGCCGCUCCUCGCCUCCUUCGCCCACUGCCGCCGCCGCAGCCCGAAGCGCCCCUCCCCUAAUCUCGUCUCUAGUGGUGGGGGAUGGGCGAGGCCUAAUUCCCUCUUAUGUUAGUAAGUGUACAAAGAAGAAUUUUUUUCUGGACAAAUUCUUUCCCCUUAUUUCUCGAUCGGACCCCAAUUCCUUUUUUUUUCUGUUCGCAAUGAUUGGUUAGUUGCUAAUUUUGGUGCUGUCUGGCGCCUUACUAACCCGAUCAUCGGCGGGCUACUAAUUCUUCAGUGGGGAGCUUCUGAAAAUACUAGGGGUUCGCCCAAUAGCCCUUAAUGGCCCAAGUGGAGUCCCCACCUGCCCCCACCUUCAUGGAUCCACAUGUAAGCCUGCGCAAUUGUUCCUUUCAAUGUCCUUUUAUCUACUAGUUUCGUGGUCUAGGAAUUUGGGGUUGAUUACAAGCUUUCAAAAUUAUAACUGCCUCAACAUCACACUUAGGUGGUCAUGAUGAUUACAGAAAGCCCCCUGCA
rnacentral:lncRNA from 1 species